rnacentral:tRNA from 1 species
GCGAUGUAGCCAAGUGGUAAGGCAUGGGUCUGCAACACCCUGAGCAUCGGUUCAAAUCCGAUCGUCGC